UUGUGAAUGGAAGGAGUACUAAAUUACACCUAAUGGGACUAGGUGGACUACCUUUCAGAGAUGACAGAAUUGCUUCUGGAAUGGAACAACCAACUCACCAAACAACGAGAUGAACAUGGAAACACGCCGCUACACUUCUCUCUCUCACAGGAAGGCGAGAAGCAUGGAAUGCUUCCCCUCUACGCAGUGCCCCGUUAAAAGGGGCAAAGCCAUCGCAACGCUCCUGAACAUAUCAGAACCACCACUGGAGCUCACCAGGACAUUGCUGGAAGCAGAUGCAGACUCAGCAUUCCAGCCGGACAGAAGAGGGUCCUUCCCAAUCCACAUCGCGGCCUCGGCUGCAGCUGCAGGUCGGCUCUCGGCGGUCAUCGCCUUGCUCACCAUAUUCCCCGGUUCCGCCGGAUUGCGCGACUCCGAUGGGAGGACCUUCGUUCAUGUCGCGGCCAGGAAGAAGAGGUACAGUGUUGUUGCACACGCUUGCCAGACGCCGGCAUUGUCAGGGAUCUUGAACAAGCAAGACAACGAAGGGAACACUGCUCUGCACCUAGCUGUAGAAGCUGGGGAUUGGUGGAUUUUCGCCUGCCUGUUCGUCAACAAGCAGGUGGACUUGAACUUACCAAACAGUAGUGGACAUACCCCGCUGGAACUCUCUAUUAACACUAUCCCGACAGGACUCUACUGUCUCCUGAACUCGCGGAUUUUGAUACAGGAAACACUGAUAGCCGCCAAUGCUACCCGCGGCAUUUCUCGGAUGGAUGCUGCUGGUACGGAAGAACACGGACCCCAAUCUGAAGCCGAGAAUGAGGAAAAAGGAGGGAGUCAAAUUCGACGCAAUUUCUCAGCGUUGGCUUGGUCUUGAUCACGACGAUGGCGUUUGGCGCCACUUUCGCGUUGCCAGGGGGUUACAUAGCCGAUGACCACGCCAACGGAGGAACGCCAACUCUAGCUCGAGCGAAGCAAUUCCAAGGGUUCGUGAUGGCAAACA